AGUGAACGCUGGCGGUAGGCCUAACACAUGCAAGUCGAACGGCAGCACAGUAAGAGCUUGCUCUUACGGGUGGCGAGUGGCGGACGGGUGAGGAAUACAUCGGAAUCUACUUUUUCGUGGGGGAUAACGUAGGGAAACUUACGCUAAUACCGCAUACGACCUACGGGUGAAAGCAGGGGAUCUUCCGACCUUGCGCGAUUGAAUGAGCCGAUGUCGGAUUAGCUAGUUGGCGGGGUAAAGGCCCACCAAGGCGACGAUCCGUAGCUGGUCUGAGAGGAUGAUCAGCCACACUGGAACUGAGACACGGUCCAGACUCCUACGGGAGGCAGCAGUGGGGAAUAUUGGACAAAGGGCGGAAGCCUGAUCCGGCCAUACCGCGUGGGUGAAGAAGGCCUUCGGGUUGUAAAGCCCUUUUGUUGGGAAAGAAAAGCAGCAGGUUAAUACCCCGCUGUUCUGACGGUACCCAAAGAAUAAGCACCGGCUAACUUCGUG
rnacentral:rRNA from 1 species